rnacentral:misc_RNA from 1 species
GAUGAAGAACGCAGCGAAAUGCGAUACUUGGUGUGAAUUGCAGAAUCCCGUGAACCAUCGAGUCUUUGAACGCAAGUUGCGCCCGAAGCCAUUAGGCCGAGGGCACGCCUGCCUGGGCGUCACACGUCGUUGCCCCCCCAUCUACUCCUUCGGGAUUGCGGGGGGCGGAUGAUGGCCUCCCGUGCGCCUCGUCGCGCGGUUGGCAUAAAUGCCAAGUCCUCGGCGACACACGCCACGACAAUCGGUGGUUGCGAAACCUCGGUUGCCCGUCGUGUGCGGUCGUCGCGCAUCGAGGGCUCGAAAAAAUUGCCGGGCUCCGGCUCGGCUUUCAACGCGACCCCAGGUUAGGCGGGGUUACCCGCUGAAUUUAAGCAUAUCAAUAAGCGGAGGA